rnacentral:rRNA from 1 species
UACGGAGGAUCCAAGCGUUAUCCGGAAUCAUUGGGUUUAAAGGGUCCGUAGGCGGUUUUGUAAGGCAGUGGUGAAAGCCCAUCGCUCAACGGUGGAACGGCCAUUGAUACUGCAAGACUUGAAUUAUUGGGAAGUAACUAGAAUAUGUAGUGUAGCGGUGAAAUGCUUAGAGAUUACAUGGAAUACCAAUUGCGAAGGCAGGUUACUACCAAUAUAUUGACGCUGAUGGACGAAAGCGUGGGGAGCGAACAGG